rnacentral:rRNA from 1 species
GUGCCAGCAGCCGCGGUAAGACAGAGGUGCCGAGCGUUAGGCGGAAUCACUGGGCUUAAAGCGUGUGUAGGCGGGUCGUUAAGUGUCUUGUGAAAUCCCACCGCUCAACGGUGGAACUGCUGGGCAUACUGGCGAUCUUGAGCCACCUAGGGGCAGACGGAACAAGCGGUGGAGCGGUGAAAUGCGUAGAUAUCGCUUGGAACGCCGACGGUGAAAACAGUCUGCUGGGGGUGUGCUGACGCUGAGACACGAAAGCCAGGGGAGCGAACGGGAUUAGAUACCCCCGUAGUCC